GCACCAUUAGCUCAGUUGGCAGAGCAGCUGACUCUUAAUCAGCGGGUCCAAGGUUCGAAUCCUUGAUGGUGUA
rnacentral:tRNA from 1 species